rnacentral:rRNA from 1 species
CAGCAGUGGGGGAAUAUUGCACAAUGGGCGCAAGCCUGAUGCAGCCAUGCCGCGUGUAUGAAGAAGGCCUUCGGGUUGUAAAGUACUUUCAGCAGUGAGGAAGGUGGGGUAUGUUAAUAGCAUAUUCAUUUGACGUUAGCUGCAGAAGAAGCACCGGCUAACUCCGUGCCAGCAGCCGCGGUAAUACGGAGGGUGCGAGCGUUAAUCGGAAUUACUGGGCGUAAAGCGCAUGCAGGUGGUUUGUUAAGUCAGAUGUGAAAGACCCGGGGCUCAACCUCGGAAUUGCAUUUGAAACUGGCAAACUAGAGUACUGUAGAGGGGGGUAGGAAUUUCAGGUGUAGCGGUGAAAUGCGUAGAGAUCUGAAGGAAUACCGGUGGCGAAGGCGGCCCCCUGGACAGAUACUGACACUCAGAUGCGAAAGCGUGGGGAGCAAACAGGAUUAGAUACCCUGGUAG